GCCAGGUGUGGUGACACGCACCUGUAGUCCCAGCUACUUGGGAGGCUGAGGCAGGAGGAUCACUUGGGCUUAGGAGUUUCAGGCUGCAGUGAGCUAUAAUCAUAGCACUGCAUUCCAGCCUGAGUGAUGGAGUGAGACCCUGACUCUU
rnacentral:SRP_RNA from 2 species